rnacentral:rRNA from 1 species
AUGGUUAUACCCGAAGCCAAAUCCAAGACCGCGGGCGCAAACGUCACCGCGAAAAAUGAGCCAUGGGUACUGGCUUCCCAAGUGGACCAAUGCUUCUUCAUUACCGACCGGCCAAAGCCCAAUCGUGUUGUCGUGAGGAGAGGCAAAAGGAAGAUCAUCGGAAUGGAUGGAGUAGCGAAUGAGCAAGACUUCGACAAGUACGGCGACCCGAGGAUCGAACAUGACAACGAUGAUGAAGUAGCAGCAUACACCACAAGAAGAAGCAGGACCACCCUACCUAAAGGACGUCCGUUCCACAGAAGAACUCCAUUUGCGAAAAAGAAGGGCAAGAAGAUUGUGAACAGAUAG